CUGCAUAUCAAUAAGCGGAGGAAAAGAAACCAACAGGGAUUGCCUUAGUAACGGCGAGUGAAGCGGCAAAAGCUCAAAUUUGAAAUCUGGCACCUUCGGUGUCCGAGUUGUAAUUUGAAGAAGGUAACUUUGGAGUUGGCUCUUGUCUAUGUUCCUUGGAACAGGACGUCACAGAGGGUGAGAAUCCCGUGCGAUGAGAUGCCCAAUUCUAUGUAAAGUGCUUUCGAAGAGUCGAGUUGUUUGGGAAUGCAGCUCUAAGUGGGUGGUAAAUUCCAUCUAAAGCUAAAUAUUGGCGAGAGACCGAUAGCGAACAAGUACAGUGAUGGAAAGAUGAAAAGAACUUUGAAAAGAGAGUGAAAAAGUACGUGAAAUUGUUGAAAGGGAAGGGCUUGAGAUCAGACUUGGUAUUUUGCGAUCCUUUCCUUCUUGGUUGGGUUCCUCGCAGCUUACUGGGCCAGCAUCGGUUUGGAUGGUAGGAUAAUGACUAAGGAAUGUGGCUCUACUUCGGUGGAGUGUUAUAGCCUUGGUUGAUACUGCCUGUCUAGACCGAGGACUGCGUCUUUUGACUAGGAUGUUGGCAUAAUGAUCUUAAGCCACCCGUCUUGAAACACGGACCAA
rnacentral:rRNA from 1 species